rnacentral:rRNA from 1 species
AUUGAACGCUGGCGGCCGGCCUAACACAUGCAAGUCGAGCGGAGCCUCGGACGGGUGCGUAAUGCCUAGGCAUCUGCCUGCUAGCGUUGGAUCACGUCCGGCAACGGGCGCUAAUACCUCAUACUAUCCGUUGAUCCUAGGUCGGAUUCGCUAGUUGGUGGGGUAAAGGCCUACCAAGGCGACGAUCCGUAACUGGUCGGAGAGGAUGAUCAGUCAAACGGGAACUGAGAAACGGUCCAGAUGCCAACGGGAGGAAGAAGGGGGGAAUAUUGGACAAGGGGCGAAGGCCUGAUCCAGAAAUGCCGCGGGGGGGAAGAAGGUCUGCGGAUUGGAAAGCACGUUAAGUGGGGAGGCGUUACCAACAGAAAAAGCACCGGCUAACUUCGUGCCAGCAGCCGCGGUAAUAC